UUUCUUAGACUAAGAUGGCAAUGACUUACCCAUGUACCUCUAUCUUGUAUCUCUUGCAUCAAACUCGGCCUUCUUCCUUUCUUUAACCAAGUCUUCGUCUUUACAAGCCCGUUCAACAAGUACCACAAAUUCUUUCAACUCAAGAAUACCCACUAAUGUCUUAAUAUUCUCAUUGAGUCCAUCUUCAAAUCUUCUGCACAUCUUAGCCUCGGAGGGUAUGCACUCCUGAGCAUAUUUGCUGAGUUUGAC
rnacentral:lncRNA from 1 species